rnacentral:rRNA from 1 species
UACGUAGGGGCCAGCGUUGGCUCGGAAUUACUGGGCGUAAAGGGUCCGUAGGCGGUGUGGCAAGUCGGGAGUGAAAUCUCUGGGCUUAACUCAGAGGCUGCUUCCGAAACUGCCGUGCUAGAGUGUGAGAGAGGCGAGUGGAAUUGCGGGUGUAGCGGUGAAAUGCGUAGAUAUCCGCAGGAACAUCCGAGGCGAAAGCGGCUCGCUGGAUCACAACUGACGCUGAGGGACGAAAGCUAGGGGAGCAAACAGGG